GACGAACGCUGGCGGCGUGCUUAACACAUGCAAGUCGUACGGUAAGGCCCUUUCGGGGGUCCACGAGUGGCGCACGGGUGAGUAACACGUGAGUAACCUGCCCACAACUUUGGGAUAACGCUAGGAAACUGGUGCUAAUACUGGAUAUGUGCUCCUGCUGCAUGGUGGGGGUUGGAAAGCUCCGGCGGUUGUGGAUGGACUCGCGGCCUAUCAGCUUGUUGGUGGGGUAGUGGCCUACCAAGGCGGCGACGGGUAGCCGGCCUGAGAGGGUGACCGGCCACAUUGGGACUGAGAUACGGCCCAGACUCCUACGGGAGGCAGCAGUGGGGAAUAUUGCACAAGGGGCGCAAGCCUGAUGCAGCAACGCCGCGUGCGGGAUGACGGCCUUCGGGUUGUAAACCGCUUUCAGCAGGGACGAAGCUUUUUGUGACGGUACCUGCAGAAGAAGCACCGGCUAACUACGUG
rnacentral:rRNA from 1 species